GACGAACGCUGGCGGCGUGCUUAACACAUGCAAGUCGAACGGAAAGGCCCUGCUUGCCGGGUACUCGAGUGGCGAACGGGUGAGUAACACGUGGGUGAUCUGCCCUGCACUUCGGGAUAAGCCUGGGAAACUGGGUCUAAUACCGGAUAGGAGCCAUUUUUAGUGUGAUGGUUGGAAAGUUUUUUCGGUGUAGGAUGAGCUCGCGGCCUAUCAGCUUGUUGGUGGGGUAAUGGCCUACCAAGGCGGCGACGGGUAGCCGGCCUGAGAGGGUGGACGGCCACAUUGGGACUGAGAUACGGCCCAGACUCCUGCGGGAGGCAGCAGUGGGGAAUAUUGCACAAUGGGCGCAAGCCUGAUGCAGCGACGCCGCGGGGGGGAUGACGGCCUUCGGGUUGUAAACUCCUUUCGCUAGGGACGAAGCUUUUUGUGACGGUACCUAGAUAAGAAGCACCGGCUAACUACGUG
rnacentral:rRNA from 1 species